rnacentral:rRNA from 1 species
CGCUCUCUGCUAUUAAAACAUAGAGAGUCGUACCUGCCCAGUGGAAUACUAAACGGCCGCAGUACCCUGACUGUGCAAAGGUAGCAUAAUCACUUGCCUUAUAAUUGAAGGCUAGAAUGAAUGGUUUGACGAAAGCUAAGCUGUCUCUUUUGCAUUAAAUAUAAAUUAUCUUCCAGGUGAAGAGGCCUAGAUACAGCUGAAAGACGAAAAGACCCUGUUGAGCUUAAGAAAAAUAAGAAAACCUAAAUAGAAUAGCAAAUAAAAUUAUUUCUUUUUCUUUUGUUGGGGCGACAAAAGAACAGUUCAAGCUUCUUUUUAUUUAGCUAAUAAAUUCAUUAUAUGAUCCAUAAAUAAUUAUGAGUAAAAGAAAAAGUUACCACAGGGAUAACAGCGUAAUCUUUUUGGAGAGCUCUUAUUGAAAAAAAGGUUUGCGACCUCGAUGUUGGAUUAAGAAAACUAUUAGGUGCAGCAGCUAAUAAAAGUUGGUCUGUUCGACCAUUAAAUUCUUACA